rnacentral:tRNA from 1 species
GUCAGGUUGGCCGAGUGGUCUAAGGCGCCAGACUCAAGUUCUGGUCUUCGAGAGAGGGCGUGGGUUCAAAUCCCACAUCUGACAUUC